UACGAAGGGGGGCUAGCGUUGCUCGGAAUCACUGGGCGUAAAGCGCACGUAGGCGGAUUGCUAAGUCAGGGGUGAAAUCCUGGGAGCUCAACUCCAGAACUGCCUUUGAUACUGGCGACCUUGAGUCCGGGGGAGGUGAGUGGAACUGCGAGUGUAGAGGUGAAAUUCGUAGAUAUUCGCAAGAACACCAGUGGCGAAGGCGGCUCACUGGCCCGGUACUGACGCUGAGGUGCGAAAGCGUGGGGAGCAAACAGG
rnacentral:rRNA from 1 species